GCGUGUCCGGGCUGACGGCGGAGGACAGCGGCGGUCGUCUCUUCUGCCGGGGCCCGUUACAGAGCGGCGUGUUGCAGCAGGAGCUCGUUAAGAUAAGACGUCCAAUCAGGAGCCGGGAGCCGACAAGUCCCGGUCCAUUACCUGAGAACCUGGACCUGACCUCCUCAGGUUCUGUAGAACAGGAAACACUUCGUCUGCGUCUGUCCCGUCUUCACGGAGCUGGAGGCGACAUUAGAGGAGCCUCAGAGGGAAUCAUCGAGCCUGACUGAUUUUAUUUCAUGUCUGAAGCACCGAGGUGUCAUGGCUGCAUUUUAAACAGGUGUGCUGGGCUCAGUCCAC